rnacentral:rRNA from 1 species
CUACGGGUCGCUGCAGUGGGGAAUUUUGGACAAUGGGGGAAACCCUGAUCCAGCCAUGCCGCGUGCGGGAUGAAGGCCUUCGGGUUGUAAACCGCUUUCAGAUGGAAAGAAAUUGCCACUUCUAAUACAGGUGGUAGAUGACGGUACCAUCAGAAGAAGCACCGGCUAACUACGUGCCAGCAGCCGCGGUAAUACGUAGGGUGCGAGCGUUAAUCGGAAUUACUGGGCGUAAAGCGUGCGCAGGCGGUUUCUUAAGCAAGAUGUGAAAUCCCCGGGCUUAACCUGGGAACUGCAUUUUGAACUGGGAGACUAGAGUGUGUCAGAGGGGGGUGGAAUUCCGCGUGUAGCAGUGAAAUGCGUAGAUAUGCGGAGGAACACCGAUGGCGAAGGCAGCCCCCUGGGAUAACACUGACGCUCAUGUACGAAAGCGUGGGGAGCAAACAGGAUUAGAUACCCUAGUAGUC